AGGCAGUGAUGAUACGAAAACACAUACCAUCAAACUCUGAAGUCCAGAUCAUCUGGGCUUGUUGAUGAGAUCCGUAAUCGAGAUUCUCUGAGCCU